GCUCCAGCAGGCGCUCCGUCGGAGGAACUGGUAUUUCUGUCCCCUUCCUCCCAGUCUGGAGUAAGAAGCCCCCAGUGAUAAAACCUGGAUCAUACUAAUGUGACGUGUCUAUUUGUCAAAUAAUUCAUUUGCAAUUAGCAGAAGGCUCUUGAAUAUAUCACCUUGGGCUCAUGGCUGAAUUCUUUAUUGCUGUUGAACUUACCAGAUGUGUCAUGUUCUCGGUGAUACUUUAAGUCCCUUGUGGGUAGGUAUACUGUGUUACACUUUUUUUUUUCAAUCUAUUACAGCUGGUUGUAUCGUGCAAAGCACACAGCAAAUAUUGGUGGAUAUUGGUGUUUUGUUGACUUGAAUUGAGAAACUCUAGGUUUACUUACCUUUUCUAGCUUAUGUACAUGGUGUCCUUCACCUGAGACAAAGUGGCUGUCUUUGAAAAAAUACUUCAUUUUGCUCACUGCUAAGCAAGCUGAUGAUGGAACUGUCUUGAUCUCAUAAGGACUGCACCAAAACACUCAUCACCAAAGAGAAAAAAACUUGCAUCAGAAUGAAGAAAUUCCAUAUCUCUCCUCUCUAUGUGAAUGCAUUAGCAAGCUUUUAGCCAGAUGAAAUAAUACAGGGUAAGCUAUCUUGAUAACUUUUUCUUGUGUACAGCAAUGUCUACUGUUCACCUUCUGAGUGUCUGCAAUAAACAUGCUUUAAUAUGAACUU